AGCAGCAGCCGCGGGAAUACAGAGGGUGCGAGCGUUAAUCGGAUUUACUGGGCGUAAAGCGUGCGUAGGCGGCUAAUUGAGUCGGAUGUGAAAUCCCCGAGCUUAACUUGGGAAUUGCAUUCGAUACUGGUUAGCUAGAGUGUGGGAGAGGAUGGUAGAAUUCCAGGUGUAGCGGUGAAAUGCGUAGAGAUCUGGAGGAAUACCGAUGGCGAAGGCAGCCAUCUGGCCUAACACUGACGCUGAGGUACGAAAGCAUGGGGAGCAAACAGGAUUAGAUACCCGCGUAGUCCCUGUCUCUUAUAU
rnacentral:rRNA from 1 species